rnacentral:rRNA from 1 species
CUACGGGUGGCAGCAGUGGGGAAUUUUGGACAAUGGGCGCAAGCCUGAUCCAGCCAUGCCGCGUGAGUGAAGAAGGCCUUCGGGUUGUAAAGCUCUUUCAGGUGGGAAGAAACGGUUAAUGUUAAUAGCAUUGACUACUGACGGUACCACCAGAAGAAGCGCCGGCUAACUACGUGCCAGCAGCCGCGGUAAUACGUAGGGUGCGAGCGUUAAUCGGAAUUACUGGGCGUAAAGGGUGCGCAGGCGGUUUUGUAAGCCAGAUGUGAAAUCCCCGGGCUCAACCUGGGAACUGCAUUUGGGACUGCAAGGCUAGAGUACGGCAGAGGGGGGUAGAAUUCCACGUGUAGCAGUGAAAUGCGUAGAUAUGUGGAGGAAUACCGAUGGCGAAGGCAGCCCCCUGGGUCGAUACUGACGCUCAGGCACGAAAGCGUGGGGAGCAAACAGGAUUAGAUACCCCCGUAGUC